rnacentral:rRNA from 1 species
UACGAAGGGGGCUAGCGUUGUUCGGAAUCACUGGGCGUAAAGGGCGCGUAGGCGGCUUUGUAAGUCGGGGGUGAAAGCCUGUGGCUCAACCACAGAAUUGCCUUCGAUACUGCAUGGCUUGAGACCGGAAGAGGUAAGUGGAACUGCGAGUGUAGAGGUGAAAUUCGUAGAUAUUCGCAAGAACACCAGUGGCGAAGGCGGCUUACUGGUCCGGUUCUGACGCUGAGGCGCGAAAGCAUGGGGAGCAAACAGG